AUGCCAUGUGGGUCGCUGGUGGUGUCCUGCCACAGAGGGCAGGUUCGUGCCCCUGCUGAGGCCCAUGCCAGAAGGCAGGCUGGGGGUGGGGCUUGUGCCAACAGCGAGGAAGGCCCCUCGGGCCGGCCCACCCCCUGCCCCAUGCUCAGGUGGGCGUGGGCUGACCUGGGGUGCGGGACAGAAGGGCCCUGGGCCCCCGUCCGGAGGCUCUGCUUGGCCUUCACCCUGUCCCCUUCCCUCACGUGUCCUCCUAACCUGUUGCACUUGCCGUUGACUCGCUCCUGUCCCUGCCUGCUGCCUUCCAAGCCCCGGGAAGGCCGGGCAUACAGUAGGUGCUCAGUCACUGCAGGGCCGCUGACCUGCCCGCGUCAGAGGUCUCGCGCUGCGGAAGCCCUGGGUGUGUCACACUCCCGCAGUCGGUGGCUCCGAUGCCCCAAUUCCUCCCGUCGUGGAGAACGGAGCCCUGCAGGGAGGGCCCACGGGGAGCGGUGUGGGGGUCCCGGGGCAUCGACUGUUCUGCUCCCAGAACUUGGUGAUCACUGGCCGCACUGUUUGUUUGGGGAACUGCCGAGGCCCUUGUCCUUUGUCGAGACUCUGGGCUGGUCUCCCGCUGACCCUGACCCUGACCCUUCUGUCGCUGAUCCCCGCCCCGCCCCCCUCCGGCAGACAGUCACGGACGCAAGGCGCCGGCGGGAUGCACCCCUGGGCCGCCGACACUCGGGCCCCGGCGCCGGCAAACUGCGGCAAACGGCCACACGGCCUCGGUCUCGGGGCUUCUGCCCGGCGGGACAGAGCGGUGCAGGCGGUGCCGUUCCGAGAAAACUUCACUUGCAGAAACGAGCGGUGGGCCAGUCUGCCGGCCCCGGGCGGACUCCUGGUCCCUUGGGGUCUCAGCCGCCGAAGGAGUUGGCGGGGAGGACGGGUCCCCCGGCCGCAGCAGGCUGGGGAGCGUCGGCACGGGAGUCCUCUCCGCUGGCUCAGGCCGUGGUCCGGGUUCGCGGGACGGGUGCGUGGUUUUGUACAACGGCUUUUGCACAUUUAUUGCCGAUUUCUGCUGACUUUUUUUUUUCCCUCUGUCGUGAAUAA
rnacentral:lncRNA from 1 species